CUCUCUCUCUCUCUCUCUAUCUGAACUAGCUCUCUCGAUCCUCUCUCUGUUCUUUAACUUCACUCUCCCAUCUCCUCCUCCACUCCUACCACCUAUAGAUCUCUUCGUCCCCUCUUAGCUAGGUUUACUCUUGAUGUUGUCUCGAGUGCUCCCUUACCCUCCUCAGAGGUCAUUAAUGGCGUACCAUAGCUGGAAGCCCAACAUGGAGCUAGCACCUGUUUGCCCCCGAUGUGAUUCCUCCAACACCAAGUUCUGCUACUACAACAACUACAGCUUAACACAGCCUCGCUACUUUUGCAAAGGCUGCAGAAGGUAUUGGACCAAAGGGGGAACCAUUCGGAAUGUCCCCGUCGGUGGUGGGUGCCGCAAGAACCGGCGUGGGAAAUCUGCGAGAUCGCAAGCAAAUCAUCCUACGUCCCUCAGCAAUCUAAUUUACGACAGUCAUGGACUGCUGGAUUCUGAUCGUUCCGGCCAUGCACAGCACGAUGGCAUGCGAGGGAGUUCCCAUCAUUCCAACAAGAGCGAGCUUCCCCCUUCUGAGGGAUCCGCGAUUGACCUUGCGCUACUUUACACCAAGUUUGUUAACCAGUGUCCUGUGUUGAACUCCGAUCCUGCUGUUCCCGAAUUGCCGGGAGAAAUCAUGGACGAGUCUUUCAGUGUGAUGGGAGGUGCGUCGACUUCGGUGAUGAACCAAAUGCCUGACCAAGGAUUGAAUCAGCUUGGAGGCUGGGAGAUCACGGAAGCUCGAUUUGAGAACCAAAUGUAUCCAGAGGACAGCAACUUCUCCCUGGAUCCGGGCAGCUCUGAGUCGGUGACAUUCUCCUCGGAAGGAGUUGUUACCGGUAAUGACGUCACUGCGUCAGAUUGUUGGACUCCCCAACCAAUGUUUCCAGGAUUCCAACCACUGCUUGAGGAUGAUAUGUUUCACCAUCAAGAUCUUGUGAUUGGUGAUUGCCACGAGAACGCAGACAUGUUUGGUUUCCUGCAAUUCACUGAGAUGCAGCAACUUGAGUUACAAAGUAGGUUCAAAUGGCAGCAUUUUGACUCGCAGCCAAAGCGACUGCGGAAAAGAUGCAGCAUCUCACGAAACGAAUCAGUUUGCCAUUCCGACGCUCCGAUCGGCUCGUCCAAGACCACUCUCCUCUCAGACCACCUCGGCCUUUAAUUUGAUACAUCGACCACUAGGGCACUCCGUUUGGGCAUCCUAGUGCUUGGAUCAACCAUCCCGGAGCUCGAAUCAACUACUUCGUCACUUUGUUCCCCACACCGACAAUAUGGCCGGUCAGCCGUUCCAGCGGCUCCGAUCAACUAUUCUGGUACUCCAUUCCUUCGCCAAGUAUUCCGAUUGGCCACUAACGAAGAAGAGAGGGAAGGAAGGAGAAAUCCACCCAUGUGGUUGACUCGAACAUUGUAUGCGUGGAUCAAGGCUUGCUGACCAAAGGAGAAAUAGAAGUUCGGCAAAAUGGUUGAGAAGGUCUGCCUUCAUGAAGACCUUCAGUUCGUUUCAUUUGGAGACUCUGUGACAUAUGAGCUCUUUGGAGAAUGCCACUAGCAUAUUUCAAGGAGAGGUAUGCAGAGCCUGUUGCUAACUCGACAAGACACAUGACGAU